GACGAACGCUGGCGGCGUGCUUAACACAUGCAAGUCGAACGGUGAAGCGCCUUCCUUUUUGGUGGGUGUGGAUGAGUGGCUAACUGGUGAGUAACACGUUAGUAACCUGCCCCCUUCUUCUUGAUAACCGCAUGAAAGUGUGGCUAAUACGGGAUAUUCUGGAUCUGUCGCAUGAUGGGUCUGGGAAAGAUAUUGUUUCGGUGGGGGAUGGGAUCGCGGCCUAUCAGCUUGUUGGUGGGGUGAUGGCCUACCAAGGCGGUGACGGGUAGCCGGCCUGAGAGGGUGGACGGUAACAGAGGGGAGACGACACGGAGACGACUACGGCGGGAGGCAGUAGUGGAGAAUGUGGAACGGUGGGAGGAAGGAUGAAGCAGCGACGCGGGGUGAGGGAUGGUGGCCGGAGGGUUGUGAACCUCUUUUGGGAGUGAAGCAGGGUUGCCUCGUCUGUGGGUGGGUUGACGGUAGCUGGAGAAGAAGCGACGGCUAACUACGUG
rnacentral:rRNA from 1 species